UGCAUGUUGCUGAAGCCAGUGGGCACCUAA
rnacentral:piRNA from 1 species